rnacentral:rRNA from 1 species
CAGAGGGGGCAAGCGUUGUUCGGAAUUACUGGGCGUAAAGGGCGCGUAGGCGGCCUGCUAAGUCGAACGUGAAAUCCCCGGGCUCAACCCGGGAACUGCGUCCGAUACUGGUAGGCUUGAAUUCGGGAGAGGGAUGCGGAAUUCCAGGUGUAGCGGUGAAAUGCGUAGAUAUCUGGAGGAACACCGGUGGCGAAGGCGGCAUCCUGGACCGACAUUGACGCUGAGGCGCGAAAGCCAGGGGAGCAAACGGGAUUAGAUACCCCGGUAGUCCUGGCCCUAAACGAUGAAUGCUUGGUGUGGUGGGUAUCGAUCCCUACCGUGCCGAAGCUAACGCAUUAAGCAUUCCGCCUGGGGAGUACGGCCGCAAGGCUA